rnacentral:lncRNA from 1 species
CUGUGUUAAUCUUGCUGAAUUUCAAGGGGGUAACAUUACUCCAUACUUGGAAAGCUUUCCGGAUUGCGUAGUCAACAUCCUCACGGUUCAUGUCAGGUGUGUAAUUAUUGAUUCUGUAGGUGAUAUAAUGUUUCCUCCAUACGGGCCCCCCUGGCAUUUCCCUGAAAUGAUGGACAUCGGGGACUCCACAUCGAGGUGCGUGCA